UGGGGAAUUUUGGACAAUGGGCGAAAGCCUGAUCCAGCAAUGCCGCGUGUGUGAAGAAGGCCUUCGGGUUGUAAAGCACUUUUGUCCGGAAAGAAAUCCUUGGCUCUAAUACAGUCGGGGGAUGACGGUACCGGAAGAAUAAGCACCGGCUAACUACGUGCCAGCAGCCGCGGUAAUACGUAGGGUGCAAGCGUUAAUCGGAAUUACUGGGCGUAAAGCGUGCGCAGGCGGUUUGCUAAGACCGAUGUGAAAUCCCCGGGCUCAACCUGGGAACUGCAUUGGUGACUGGCAGGCUAGAGUAUGGCAGAGGGGGGUAGAAUUCCACGUGUAGCAGUGAAAUGCGUAGAGAUGUGGAGGAAUACCGAUGGCGAAGGCAGCCCCCUGGGCCAAAUACUGACGCCAUGCACGAAGACGUGGGGAGCAAAACAGGAUUAGAUACCCUGGUAGUCCACGCCCUAAAACGAUGUCAACUAGUUGUUGGGGAUUCAUUUCCUUAGUAACGUAGCUAACGCGUGAAGUUGACCGCCUGGGGAGUACGGUCGCAAGAUUAAAACUCAAAUGAAUUGACGGGGUCAUAGCUG
rnacentral:rRNA from 1 species